rnacentral:rRNA from 1 species
GCUCAAAUUUGAAAUCUGGCAGGUUUCCUGUCCGAAUUGUAGUUUCAAGGUGCGUUUUCGGGGGCGGCUUAGGUCCAAGCUGUUGGAACGCAGUGCCAUAGAGGGUGAGAGCCCCGUAGGACCUGAUGUUCGCUCCUGUAUAUACGUAUCCGAAGAGUCGCAUAGUUUGGGAAUGCUGUGCAAAUUGGGUGGUAAAUAUCAUCUAAAGCUAAAUAUUGGCGAGAGACCGAUAGCGAACAAGUACCGUGAGGGAAAGAUGAAAAGAACUUUGAAAAGAGAGUUAAAAGUACGUGAAAUUGUCAAAAGGGAAACGCUUGAAACCAGUAUCGGGGCUAGAUUAUCAGCCGCAAGGUGCACUAGUCUAGUCUUGGGUCAGCAACAGUUUGGUUUGGAGUAAAAAACUAGCGGAAGGUAGCCUCUGGUGUUAUAGCCGCUAGCAAUGCUCUGGGCUGGACUGAGGACUGCGGGUAUCUUGGGGAACUUGCCGCCAUGGAAAGCGUACUUGUAAACAACUUGUUGAUUGCGAGUGCGCCCAAGUGAUCGGUAGGGUACCACUUCUACCCUAGGUUGCUGACGAAAUGGUUUUAAACGACCCGUCUUGAAACACGGACCAAGGAGUCCAACACACAUGCGAGUAUUUGGGUGGUAAACCCGAGUGCGUAAUGAAAGUAAAUGUAGGUGGGAUCCUUCGGGUGCACCAUCGACCGGUCUGGAACUUUGUGAAAGAUCGAGUAAGAGCAUGUUUGUUGGGACCCGAAAGAUGGUGAACUAUGCCUGAAUAGGGUGAAGUCAGAGG